rnacentral:rRNA from 1 species
CCAAUAGCGUAUAUUAAAGUUGUUGCAGUUAAAAAGCUCGUAGUUGAAUUUCGGGAUCAGUACGUUGGUCAUGCCUUGGUAUGAACUGGUGUCACUGAUUCCUCCCUUCUGACGAACCGUCAUGCCAUUCACUUGGUGUGGCGUGGAAUCAGGACUGUUACUUUGAAAAAAUUAGAGUGUUUAAAGCAGGCUCACGCUUGAAUACAUUAGCAUGGAAUAAUGGAAUAGGACGUUGAUCCUAUUUUGUUGGUUUCUAGGAUUGACGUAAUGAUUAAUAGGGAUAGUUGGGGGCAUUAGUAUUCAAUUGUCAGAGGUGAAAUUCUUGGAUUUAUUGAAGACUAACUACUGCGAAAGCAUUUGCCAAGGAUGUUUUCAUUAAUCAAGAACGAAAGUUAGGGGAUCGAAGACGAUCAGAUACCGUCGUAGUCUUAACCAUAAACUAUGCCGACUAGGGAUCGGAUGAUGUUAAUUUUUUAAUGACUCAUUCGGCGCCUUACG